rnacentral:rRNA from 1 species
UGAGGAACAUGACCUUCGGCGGGGAUAGCCGGCCCAACGGCCGGGUAAUACCGCGUACGACCACUCGGGGACAUCCCCAGGUGGUGAAAGCAGCAAUGCGCCGAUGGAGUGCCUCGCGGCCUAUCAGCUAGUUGGUGUGGGUAAUGGCUCACCAAGGCGGCGACGGGUAGCCGGCCUGAGAGGGCGAUCGGCCACACUGGGACUGAGACACGGCCCAGACUCCUACGGGAGNAGCG